rnacentral:lncRNA from 1 species
GCUUAGUAGUAAAUAGUAGUCAUUCAAUAAAUUGAAGGCAGUGUUCACUUAUUCAACAGUUAGCCAUUUCUGAGUUGGCUCUUGAUAAUUAUUUUUUAUUCUCUCACCCUUUUUUAGCAGAUGAGUGGCUGCAGACAGAAAAAUGGAAUUAACUUUGCAGGCUGCAAAGCAAAUCAGAGACAGAGUUGGACCGCCACUUGUCCAGUAACCCCACGUGUGCUUCCUCCUCCCCAUCACUGAAGAGCCUUGCUCUCUUCUAACUCACCCAGUCUUGGAGAGAAAAUAAUCAACUCCACUUGUUGGGCGUGACCCUCAUCCUCUGCUCACCUUGAGCCUCUCAAGUCUCUGCCGCUGUCUUCAAAAGUACUUUUCAGCAGCAGAGGCAUUGUUCUGGAGUAGUCUAUGAACUGUAAACAUAAUCUCAGUAUUCAACAGGCCAAUCACCUUGGGUGCAUACAGGAAAAUCUGGAGAGGAAAGAAAGUCAGCCACAUUGAUAUAUCAGCAAAUGUACAAAGCAUUUCUGAGUAAGUGCGACUUGCAGAAAGUCAGGGAGACCAAGAGAAGACAUGAACAAGAUUCUGAAGGGCCUUCAAAAUGCAGUCCCACUCCUAUGCCAUGGUUUCUGAUCGUCAGAUCCUCAAGCUGCCCAGGCUGCUGUGACGUUGUUUCUCAUUCUGAAGACUUCGCUUCCACUGCAGGACAAGCAGGAGAAAGAGCCGGCAGUGUGAGUCCACUGUAAUCCGUGAGUACCUUGAUGCUAGAAAAAACACUCAGAAAUUCCAUUAUUUGCCAUCUCCACGUGCCUUUGGUCACAAAGUUUCUAUACAUAAAACGUCACUGCUCCCCACAGAACUCUGGGGACAUCUGUAACCAUACUGCAAAAUAACAGAUUCCAGCUGGGCGUGGUGGCUCACGCUUGUAAUCCCAGCACUUUGGGAGGCCAAGGCUGGUGGAUCACCUGAGGUCAGGAGUUCGAGAUCAGCCUGACCAACAUGGUGAAACCCCGUCUCUACUAAAAAUACCAAAAUUAGCCAGGCAUGGUGGCACAUGCCUGUAAUCCCAGCUACUCUGGGAGGCUGAGGCAGGAGAAUUGCUUGAACCUGGAGGUUGGAGGUUGCGGUGAGCUGAGAUCGCACCACUGCACUCCAGCCUAGGUGGCAGAGGGAGACUCCAUCUCAAAAAAUAACCGAUGCCACUGCUCAGUAAGAGAAUGAAGAUGAAUGGAAAUUUAAAUGGUUAGGCAAAUAGCCACCCACCUUCAGUUCAGAUUACACUUUCAUGCUAUCAGGGAUUCACCCC